GUCCACGCCGUAAACGAUGAGUGCUAAGUGUUAGGGGGUUUCCGCCCCUUAGUGCUGCAGCUAACGCAUUAAGCACUCCGCCUGGGGAGUACGGUCGCAAGACUGAAACUCAAAGGAAUUGACGGGGGCCCGCACAAGCGGUGGAGCAUGUGGUUUAAUUCGAAGCAACGCGAAGAACCUUACCAGGUCUUGACAUCCCGCUGACCGCUAUGGAGACAUAGUUUUCCCUUCGGGGACAGCGGUGACAGGUGGUGCAUGGUUGUCGU
rnacentral:rRNA from 1 species